GAUGAACGCUAGCUACAGGCUUAACACAUGCAAGUCGAGGGGAAACGACAUCGAAAGCUUGCUUUUGAUGGGCGUCGACCGGCGCACGGGUGAGUAACGCGUAUCCAACCUGCCCAUCACUUGGGGAUAACCUUGCGAAAGUAAGACUAAUACCCAAUGAUAUCUCUAGAAGACAUCUGAAAGAGAUUAAAGAUUUAUCGGUGAUGGAUGGGGAUGCGUCUGAUUAGCUUGUUGGCGGGGUAACGGCCCACCAAGGCAACGAUCAGUAGGGGUUCUGAGAGGAAGGUCCCCCACAUUGGAACUGAGACACGGUCCAAACUCCUACGGGAGGCAGCAGUGAGGAAUAUUGGUCAAUGGGCGAGAGCCUGAACCAGCCAAGUAGCGUGCAGGAAGACGGCCCUAUGGGUUGUAAACUGCUUUUAUAAGGGAAUAAAGUGAGAGUCGUGACUCUUUUGUAUGUACCUUAUGAAUAAGGACCGGCUAAUUCCGUG
rnacentral:rRNA from 1 species